rnacentral:tRNA from 1 species
CAAAGAGUAGCUUAUAUAAAGCACCCAGCUUACAACUGGGAGAUGCCGCAUCACAUACGACCUUUUUGA